CAGGAUGUCGAGGAGAAAAAGAAAUACUACAUGCGGGAUAAUAUGAGAAGGGUGAGAUUUAACAGUAAUUUUGAUUUGUUCACAUCAUGGACUGCUAGCUGGAGGGACUCAUUGGCCAUUUCAUUUUCAGAUCCUGAUCAAAUUAAUUCUGAUGACUUGCCAGAUUUAUGUAGAAAGUCAGUUAUAGAGUACUCAAAACUCGUCAAUAACUUGGGAAAUAUUCUGUUUGGCUUACUAUCGGAGGCACUUGGACUAGAACCUGAGCACCUAAGAAACAUGGACCGUUCUUAAGGGCACCGUCUUUCUUGUCACUAUUAUCCAGCGUGCCCUGAACCAGUACUCACUCUGGGAACCGCAAAGCAUUCAGAUCCUGGAUUUCUCACCAUUCUUCUACAAAACCAAAUCGAGGGUCUCCAGAUUUUCUUCCAAAACCAGUGGGUUGAUGUCCGGCCCAUUCGUGGAGCAUUUGUAAUUAAUAUUGGGGAUCUUCUCCAGCUGGUAUCCAAUGGAA